rnacentral:rRNA from 1 species
GACGUAGGGCGCAAGCGUUGUCCGGAUUUAUUGGGCGUAAAGAGCUCGUAGGCGGUUCGGUAAGUCAGGUGUGAAAUCUCCACGCUCAACGUGGAGGCGCCACCUGAAACUGCCGUGACUCGAGUCCGGUAGGGGAGUGUGGAAUUCCCGGUGUAGUGGUGGAAUGCGUAGAUAUCGGGAGGAACACCAGUGGCGAAGGCGGUUACCUGGAGCUUUGCUGACGCUGAUGCGCGAAAGCGUGGGUAGCGAUCCGG